AGGGCGCAGGGCGAAUGCCUUGGCACUGGGAGCCGAUGAAAGACGUGAUAAGCUGCGAUAAGCUUCGGGGAGCUGCAAAUAAGCAUUGAUCCGGAGAUUUCUGAAUGAGGAAACUCACCUGGGUUCAUACUCAGGUACGUUAUACUGAACUUCAAAAUAGGUAUAUCGAGGGAACCGCCUGAACUGAAACAUCUAAGUAGGGCGAGGAAGAGACAUCAAACGAGAUUCCGUAAGUAGUGGCGAGCGAACGCGGAAGAGGGCAAACCGGGAGUAGAAAUACUUCCGGGGUACGGACUGCUUUUAGGACUUAAUCUGUUAACCGAACGGCAUGGGAAGGCCGGUCAGAGAGUGUGAGAACCACGUAGGUGAAAACGGAGAGAGCUGCGCAGAUUCCAGAGUACGGCCAGACACGUGAAACCUGGUCGGAAGAUGGGGGGACCACCCUCCAACCCUAAAUACUACCCAGUGACCGAUAGCGUAUAGUACUGUGAAGGAAAGGUGAAAAGCACCCCGGGAGGGGAGUGAAAAAGAACCUGAAACCCUGUGCCUACAAGCACCUAGAGCACGUCAAUGUGUGAUAGGGUACUUUUUGUAGAACGGUCCGGCGAGCGAUUGUAUGCAGCAAGGUUAAGGACUUAAGGUCUGGAGCCGAAGCGAAAGCGAGUUUGAAAAGGGCGUUAAGUUGCAUAUAAUGGGCCCGAAACCGGGUGACCUACCCAUGGUCAGGUUGAAGUGGAAGUAAAAUUCCAUGGAGGACCGAACCGACCUCCGUUGAAAAGGCGGCGGAUGAACUGUGGGUAGCGGAGAAAUUCCAAUCGAACCCGGAGAUAGCUGGUUCUCCCCGAAAUAGUUUUAGGACUAGCCUCAAGUUAGAUACCUGGAGGUAAAGCACUGAAUAGCCUAGCGGCCGAGAGGUUAGCGAAGCUUAUCAAACUCAGAAUGCCAGAGUAUUGAUGCUUGGGAGUCAGACAGUGUCAGAUAAAUGUCAUUGUCAAAAGGGAAACAGCCCAGAUCUACAGCUAAGGUCCCAAAGUCAGGUUAAGUGGAAAACGAUGUGAAGAUACGCAGACAACCAGGAUGUUGGCUCAGAAGCAGCCACUCAUUCAAAGAGUGCGUAAUAGCUCACUGGUCGAGCGUCUUUGCGCGGAGAAUUUAACGGGGCUAAACCUGACACCGAAGCUUAGGCAAUCCAGUAAUGGAUUGGGUAGGGGAGCGUUGUAUACGCGGAGAAACAGUAGCGUAAGCGGCUGUGGAGUGUAUAGAAGUGAGAAUGCCGGAAUGAGUAGCGCGAAUGCAGUGAGAAUCUGCAUGGCCGAAAGCCUCAGGUUUUUGGAGGAAGGUUCGUCCGCUCCAAGUUAGUCGGGAGCUAAGGUGAGGCCGGAAGGCGUAGCCGAUGCACAGACGGUAGAGAUUCCGUCACCACCAAAAGAGUUAAGCACAGGGACACAUUUGAAGUCUCAGAGCCGGGUGUUGGUUCCGGUAGAGAUCGAGGGAAGUUAGUACCGAAGUCUGGGAUGGAAGAUGGCGAGAAAAGCUGUGUGUAUUUCUGAGGUGCCCGUACCGCAAACCGACACAGGUAGGUAGGAAGAAGAUUCUAAGGCCAACGGGAGAAGGGUUGUUAAGGAACUCGGCAAAUUGACCCCGUAACUUCGGGAGAAGGGGUGCUCCAGAGAUGGAGCCGCAGAGAAUCGGCCCAAGCAACUGUUUACCAAAAACACAGGUUUGUGCUAAAUCGAAAGAUGACGUAUACGAGCUGACGCCUGCCCGGUGCUGGAAGGUUAAGAGGAGAUGUGCAAGCAUUGAAUCGAAGCCCCAGUGAACGGCGGCCGUAACUAUAACGGUCCUAAGGUAGCGAAAUUCCUUGUCAGGUAAGUUCUGACCCGCAUGAAAGGCGUAAUGAUUUGGGCACUGUCUCAACAGCCCGCCCGGCGAAAUUGUAGUACCGGUGAAGAUGCCGGUUACCCGCGACAAGACGGAAAGACCCCAUGGAGCUUUACUGUAGCCUAAUAUUGGGUUUCGAUGUUGCAUGCACAGGAUAGAUGGGACACUGGGAAGCAGGUGCUUUGGCGCUUGUGGAGUGGCCGUUGGGAUACCAUCCUUGCGAUAUUGGAAUUCUAACCUGCGCCUUUGAAUCAAGGCGGGGGACAUUGUUAGGUGGGCAGUUUGACUGGGGCGGUCGCCUCCUAAAGAGUAACGGAGGCGUUCAAAGGUUCGCUCAGCUUGAACGGAAAUCAAGCAAAAG
rnacentral:rRNA from 1 species